ACACACACACACACACAUACACACACACACACACACACACUUUCACCAGGGAGCCUGGCUGACUGCUCUCAGCUCUGAGACAAUGUAACCUGUUACGAGCAGGAAGCUAACCAGGAACCUGUGCAGGCAGGCGAGGUCCCCCAGUUCCCAGCUCAACUGCUCAGCGUCGAGAGGGAAGCCACUCCCUUCCCUUUUGACUUUUCAGUAAAAGUGGAUGCUGGCAAUGAUGAGACGCUAAAGAAACUCUAGUCUGGUGUCCUGACCUGGAUCUAUAAUCUCAGCUCUUGGGAGGAAGGCUGGAGGAUUGCUUAGACUACAAUGCCAGUCUGGGUUAAAUAGUAAGACUCUAUCUUAAUCCCCACCCACAAGGAGAAAGUACAGUGAGAACCCAUGACGAACAGCCCCGGCCCACAGAGCUACUAUUAAACAGUAGCCCAUCAGUUGCUUGCUGUCACUCAUGACAUGAGUCUCCACCUACUUCCUUGGUCUUAGCCUAAAAGGAAUUUUGGCUAGGGAGUGUGUGGGGACAACUACGGGAAUUGCCAGGGGUGAUGGUGCCAGGUUCUGUACUAAAACCAGGUCUCAAAGGAAGAAAAAGAAAAUAGUUUUGUCACCUUUGGCUGUGAAGCCAUGGCUGGAAGGAAGAUGAGAGUCCCUGUAGGACAUUUGUAGGGGGAAUUUCCAACCUAGAGUCUGAAUAGAAAGGGUAAUUGGUCAAGAAAGCAAAUGCAGAGCAAGACAGAGGGAGAAAGAAAGAGAUGGAUGGACUAAGGGCCUCUUAGGGUCUGUGUGUAUGGAUGUGGUGGCACAGAAGAAGUUAGACACCAUUGCCAACACACAAACCACAGCUCUCAUCUUAAAGGGAGUAAGAGAGAAUUUGUUCUAGAGUAGUUUUGAGAUAACAUGGCUUGGGAAACACAGAUUUAAGUUACCUCAAGUUCCAUAUCCCAACGUGGAAGCAGUUUCGUGAAGUUUUAUUGUUUUACAGGACAAAGAAAGUCAUUGAGACAAGUUUAAAAUAUAUUGAUGGGUACACCAGAGAGGUCACAGCAAGACAGGAAGCUCCUCUCUAAGCUAAGAUGCUAUGAGAUAGUAAUGCUAACCUUGGCAACUUUAGGGUUGGUGGAAGCAAGGGACCCCGCUAAAUUAAUAGAAUUUAAAAGGGUUUUAUCUAUUAAUCUCAGGAUGUUAGUUCUAACAAAACAGGGCGGGAAGCUGGCCAAAGAUAAGGGGAUUAGCCCCUGGACUGACAACAUUCCAGGCUCUCCACAAUAACUCAGUUCUAAUCAGUCAGCCAGUGUCUGCAGAUGCGGGCUUUUCCCAGGAGUUCUCGUUCACAUCAGUAAGUGCUAACAUUGCCCUUUCCCUGGUGUGUGUUCUGGUUCAUCAGCGCGUCUCAUGAUGUCUGGGACUAGAUAGAAAGGUAAGAUGGCAGAAGAUGCACGGAUGAACCAGGUCUCAGUGUGAUCAUCCCACUACUCGGGCAGCUGAUGCAAGAGUAUUACAGGCUCAAGGCUUGCCUGGCUUACAGAAUUUAAGGCUAGCCCAGGCACCUUAGCUAAAUCCUGUCUCGUAAAGAUGAGUGACCGUGAAUGCCAUUCAAGGGUGGAACACUUGCCCACUAUGCAUAAAGCCCUGGGUUCCAGCCCCGGCACCCUGGGAAAGCAGUUACAGUUGAUAACCACUGGCACAGUGGCUGGUACGUUUACAGAAAAGUCAGCUAAAGUGAAGGAAUAAGAACCAAAUACACAUCUGCCUGCCACAUCUGCCUGCCACAUCUGCCUGCCACAUCUGCAUGCCACAUCUGCCUGCCACAUCUGCCUGCCACAUCUGCCUGCCACAUCUGUCUGCCACAUCUGCCUGCCACAUCUGCCUGCCACAUCUGUCUGCCACAUCUGCCUGCCACAUCUGCCUGCCACAUCUGUCUGCCAGCGCUGCUGAACUGGGGUUUCCUGGAUGGAAUCUCACAUCACUAUGCGUAAAGCACACCAGAGUACAGCGCUGGCCAGUUUGGACUGAAGAGAGAGACUUGGAUGUCCAUGACUCCCUUCCAGAUCUCAAGUUUGUAUUGCAAAUUGUUUAGCCUUCAGAAAAAGUUCAACUUAGUUUUCUGAAAAUUUAGUUUAGCCUUGAAAAGGCUUGCCUUAGUUCUC
rnacentral:lncRNA from 1 species